CGGGAGUAGAACUAGAGACUAGAGACACGGUUCUGCGAGUAUUAAAGGGCUCCGUAUUAAAGUAUAUGAAAAAUGUCGUACAGAAGCUUCAAGUCCUGCUCCAAGCAAAACAAAUAGCUGCUAAACGAGAAAACAAACCACCAUUGUCUCCACGCAGGAUCGAACUACGGACAUUCAGUUUACAAAACUGACGCUCUACCACUGAGCUAUAGAGGCCGUUGUGAAUUGCAUGCCCCAUUGUUCUAACGAAUGAUGGAAUCUUGAAUCAGAAUAUAACACUGCUCUUCCAAUGAUACCAGAAAGAGAAACUAUUUUUGAAGUUCGGGGAUGUAGCUCACAUGGUAGAGCGCUCUCUUUGCAUGCGAGAGUUACGGGGUUCGGUACCCUGCAUCUCCAAUUUUUUUUGUAAGAUUCGUUUUCUGUUUACAAUAUCAGGCCAAUUGAGCUCCCUAAAUUUUUUUCAUCGCCGCACCAGUGGUCUAGUGGUAGAAUAGUACCCUGCCACGGUACAGAUCCGGUUUCGAUUCCCGGCUGGUGCAUUUGCAUUUUUUGUGGUUUCCAAAUAUACUGUACUCUUCCAAUCUAAUUAGAACAACAUUUAGUACUGGAUGAAACAACACUGUAACUAAGAUUAACUUGGUGGUACACGACCCUCUAACACUUGAUGGAAAACUUCAAACAUCAAAUAAUCUAGAGUUCGUUGAUUCACCACAUUUGCUUUAAUGUCCGGAUCAAAUCCGAAGAUGGACUACAACAGCACGGAUCUACAGGGGUUUCAUGUAUUCCAUGCAGGUGUUCCCAGGUCAGGGCUCCGUAUUAAAGUAUAUGAAAAAUGUCGUACAGAAGCUUCAAGUCCUGCUCCAAGCAAAACAAAUAGCUGCUAAACAAACCACCAUUGCCUCCACGCAGGAUCGAACUACGGACCUUCAGUUUACAAGACUGACGCUCUACCACUGAGCUAUAGAGGCCGUUGUGAAUUGCAUGCCCCAUUGUUCUAACGAAUGAUGGAAUCUUGAAUCAGAAUAUAACACUGCUCUUCCAAUGAUACCAGAAAGAGAAACUAUUUUUGAAGUUCGGGGAUGUAGCUCACAUGGUAGAGCGCUCUCUUUGCAUGCGAGAGUUACGGGGUUCGGUACCCUGCAUCUCCAAUUUUUUUUGUAAGAUUCGUUUUCUGUUUACAAUAUCAGGCCAAUUGAGCUCCCUAAAUUUUUCUCAUCGCCGCACCAGUGGUCUAGUGGUAGAAUAGUACCCUGCCACGGUACAGAUCCGGUUUCGAUUCACGGCUGGUGCAUUUGCAUUUUUUGUGGUUUCCAAAUAUACUGUACUCUUCCAAUCUAAUUAGAACAACAUUUAGUACUGGAUGAAACAACACUGUAACUAAGAUUAACUUGGUGGUACACGACCCUCUAACACUUGAUGGAAAACUUCAAACAUCAAAUAAUCUAGAGUUCGUUGAUUCACCACAUUUGCUUUAAUGUCCGGAUCAAAUCCGAAGAUGGACUACAACAGCACGGAUCUACAGGGGUUUCAUGUAUUCCAUGUAGGUGUUCCCAGGUCAGGGCUUUUUGUGAACUGCCGAAGGAAACUUAAAAAGGGUUUAACAGUGUAUCCGUUUCCUUAGUUUGCCAGAUCCGUGGUGGAACCCUCCAACAGCAUGCUCUCGACUCAUUCGCUGUUAGAUAAAGAGGCCAUUUGUGAAAUUGGGAACCCUAGUUACCCUAACCUUAACAGGCUUGUUUUCCAGAGAUGUUGUGACCAAGGGUUUGAAUGCCGACUGAAUGCCCUACUGGGUUCAAGUGGUACCAAUAAUGAGUCUCCAACCUUGGUUCCUGGUUUGCCAUCUUUGCAUUGAUUUCUAAUUUGACAAGUGUUGCUGUUUGUUGAUUCUGGAAUUCGAUUGGAUGCAAAUUAAAAAUACACAAUCGAAAUUCAGAAAUACCACACAGCAACACAAUGGAUUGUGGACACAGCAACAUUAUGGAUUGUGAAAAACUGAUAUCGCUAAUCAGUAUCUUUCAUAAGAAAUUAUGUUGAAAAUCCAAACAAUUAGAGCAACUGAAGGAGGUUGCAAGCCCAGCCUUCCUCAAAAGAUGUAGAGGCUCAGAUACAAAUAAAAAUACACAAUUGAAAUUCAGAAAUAACACAGCAAUAUUAUAGAUUAUAGAAAACUAAUAUCGCAGAUUCACAAAUGUUACUGAAGUGUUCUCUCCUAUUGAUUACAAAUUCUGUAUGGCCAGGUAUGUCAUUCCUUAGGUAACAUUGGAUGGUAUCUCCUAUCUGUUGUAAAGACUCUACUCAGGAUUUGCUACCAUGACCAUUUCGUGAUUAUCUAUUUCUUAUACAUUGAUUUUGGGAUUUGCAGGGUUGUUAAGCAGCAACAUUUAGGCAAAAUUGAAUUUGAUAUUCAAUCAGUUAUGAAGUUUCAAAGCUGGAUUUUACUGCUAAACUAUAUGCAGUUGUUGCCUCAGGGGACAUCAAGAUGCUCAUCCAGAUUGUCCAAUUGCUAUGUCUAAUGCUGUUUUUUCAGAUUUAUCGAUGAGCCCCUUUGAUAUCAUCAACAAUAUCUCAAAUGUAAGGCCUCUCAAAUGUCUAAACUUGCCUCUCAAAUGUCCAAACUUUCAAAGAAAUUGAGACCAAGAAGCAUGUUUGUGUCUGGGUCUGUAAUUUUAUUGAAUUUUUUAUAAACAAGUAAGAUAUUGAAAACUAAUUUCAUA